rnacentral:rRNA from 1 species
GACAGAGGGUGCAAACGUUGUUCGGAAUUACUGGGCGUAAAGCGCGUGUAGGCGGCCCUGCAAGUCGGAUGUGAAAUCCCACGGCUCAACCGUGGAAGUGCAUUCGAAACUGCAGGGCUAGAGUCCUGGAGAGGAAGGUGGAAUGCUUGGUGUAGAGGUGAAAUUCGUAGAUAUCAAGCGGAACACCGGUGGCGAAGGCGGCCUUCUGGGACAGUGACUGACGCUGAGACGCGAAAGCGUGGGGAGCAAACAGG